GCCGGUGCAAAACACGUGGGGGGCGGGGCUGGCUUUUGGCCCGGUGAAUGGGCGUGACUAUGCAAACCGAGCCCGCGUUGGACGCUGGGUUGGGCUAGUGGGGCUUCCCUUAAGACCCCAACAGGAAGAAGUCUACUUUACUAUACCCCAGCAGGACAAAGGAUGAUUUUCUCCUCACCCAGCAAUAGCCCAGCCAAUAAGACACUGCCACAACUCACCCAAUGAGAAACUCACUACCUUGACUUUCCUCCAAUGGACUUUCAUUCAAGGCAGCCCCUCCCAACUUCCUCUCUUUUCUCUAGGAGUGCCUGGGAGUCAGAAAUUAUCUCACAGUGCCUGGGAGUGAUAUGUUUUAACUGGUCCUCUGCUCAAGGUCUCACGAAGCUGCAAUGGAGGUGUUGGCUGGACUAUAUCCUCAUCCCGAGGCUCAACUGGAGAAGGAUCCAUAUCCAAGCUUCUUGAGCCUGUUGGCAGAACUCAUUUCCUGGUGGUUGUAGGACUAUAGUCCCCAUUUCCUUUCUGUCAGCUGGGGGCCACUCUCAGGUGCUAGCCACAUGGCCUCCUCCAUCUCAGUAAGAGAAAGCCUCCCUCUAUUGAGACGGAGAAUUCUGAGUGUUAAAUGCUGAA